rnacentral:lncRNA from 1 species
CAUCCUUACUCUCCACUUCCGUUCUUGCCCUUUGCUGCCUUACAGCAUAGUGAGCCUCCUGUUCUGCUAGUUUCUUCUCCAUUUGCUUCUUUCUCUUUUCCUGCUCCACUUUAUCUUCCAGCUUUCUGAUUUUCUCUUCAUACUCCUCUCUUAUCCGCGCUUUCUCUCUCUCCAGCUCCACUCUGUGGAGUUCUUGCAUUGCUUGUGUUUGCUUCUGGAUCUCCUCCUCCGCCCUUUGGUACAUCCUAUUAGUGUAGCAGCCUUCCUUGUUCUCCCUCACCACGCGCUGGAUCAGGCCCAGCAACUGUGCCCUCUGGGCCUCCUGCUCAGCGCCUGUUGCCUUGUUG